AGAUACAGUGCCAAACCAAAAAGGACCGCCGUCCUUGUUGCCUGGACGUCGUUCUUAUCCUGUUGAGUUUUGGGACAUGGACAAAGAGCUUUGUGAGGUUCCAGAUUGUUUCUGCUUGUACAGCGUCAGGAGGUGUGGCGUGUAUCUAUCCAGCGAUGCAAAAAAACUGAAUGGGAGGUUCUGAUUGGUAAUACGGUGGAACUCCUUGUAAAGCUGUGAAAAAAAACAUCAAA